GUAGGUGGCAAGCGUUGUCCGGAAUUAUUGGGGCGUAAAGCGCGCGCAGGCGGUUCUUUAAGUCUGAUGUGAAAGCCCACGGGCUCAACCGUGGAGGGUCAUUGGAAACUGGAGAACUUGAGUACAGAAGAGGAAAGCGGAAUUCCACGUGUAGCGGUGAAAUGCGUAGAGAUGUGGAGGAACACCAGUGGCGAGGGCGGCUUUCUGGUCUGUAACUGACGCUGAGGCGCGAAAGCGUGGGGAGCAAACAGGAUUAGAUACCCUGGUAGUCCACGCCGUAAACGAUGAGUGCUAAGUGUUAGGGGGUUUCCGCCCCUUAGUGCUGCAGCUAACGCAUUAAGCACUCCGCCUGGGGAGUACGGCCGCAAAGGCUG
rnacentral:rRNA from 1 species